rnacentral:lncRNA from 1 species
GAUUUGUGAGUCUUGUUAAUGAUUUUAUUCUCUGAUGGGCCUUCUUUGCAUAGAGUAGAUUGCAUAAUUUUAUUCUCUACUGGACUUUCCUUGCAUAGAGGAGAUUGCAUGAUUUCAGUAUUCUUAACACCCUCCCACAAAUUAAGCUAUGGAAUGAGGCUUAAUUUGUGCCGAAUAAAGUCAUAUGUUGGCCUAUCGAAG